CUGGCGGCGUGCUAUACAUGCAAGUCGAGCGGACAGAUGGGAGCUUGCUCCCUGAUGUUAGCGGCGGACGGGUGAGUAACACGUGGGUAACCUGCCUGUAAGACUGGGAUAACUCCGGGAAACCGGGGCUAAUACCGGAUGGUUGUUUGAACCGCAUGGUUCAAACAUAAAAGGUGGCUUCGGCUACCACUUACAGAUGGACCCGCGGCGCAUUAGCUAGUUGGUGAGGUAACGGCUCACCAAGGCAACGAUGCGUAGCCGACCUGAGAGGGUGAUCGGCCACACUGGGACUGAGACACGGCCCAGACUCCUACGGGAGGCAGCAGUAGGGAAUCUUCCGCAAUGGACGAAAGUCUGACGGAGCAACGCCGCGUGAGUGAUGAAGGUUUUCGGAUCGUAAAGCUCUGUUGUUAGGGAAGAACAAGUACCGUUCGAAUAGGGCGGUACCUUGACGGUACCUAACCAGAAAGCCACGGCUAACUACGUGCCAGCAGCCGCGGUAAUACGUAGGUGGCAAGCGUUGUCCGGAAUUAUUGGGCGUAAAGGGCUCGCAGGCGGUUUCUUAAGUCUGAUGUGAAAGCCCCCGGCUCAACCGGGGAGGGUCAUUGGAAACUGGGGAACUUGAGUGCAGAAGAGGAGAGUGGAAUUCCACGUGUAGCGGUGAAAUGCGUAGAGAUGUGGAGGAACACCAGUGGCGAAGGCGACUCUCUGGUCUGUAACUGACGCUGAGGAGCGAAAGCGUGGGGAGCGAACAGGAUUAGAUACCCUGGUAGUCCACGCCGUAAACGAUGAGUGCUAAGUGUUAGGGGGUUUCCGCCCC
rnacentral:rRNA from 1 species